ensembl:snRNA U6 U6 spliceosomal RNA
GCUCACUGCAGCAGCACAUACUAAGGUUGGAAUGGCAAAGAUUAGCAUGGACCCUGUGCAAGAAUGACAUAAAAAUUCACAAAGCAUCCUAUAAUGUU